GACGCUGAAGAGAGGAGCUUGCUCUUCUUGGAUGAGUUGCGAACGGGUGAGUAACGCGUAGGUAACCUGCCUUGUAGCGGGGGAUAACUAUUGGAAACGAUAGCUAAUACCGCAUAACAAUGGAUGACACAUGUCAUUUAUUUGAAAGGGGCAAUUGCUCCACUACAAGAUGGACCUGCGUUGUAUUAGCUAGUAGGUGAGGUAACGGCUCACCUAGGCGACGAUACAUAGCCGACCUGAGAGGGUGAUCGGCCACACUGGGACUGAGACACGGCCCAGACUCCUACGGGAGGCAGCAGUAGGGAAUCUUCGGCAAUGGGGGCAACCCUGACCGAGCAACGCCGCGUGAGUGAAGAAGGUUUUCGGAUCGUAAAGCUCUGUUGUAAGUCAAGAACGAGUGUGAGAGUGGAAAGUUCACACUGUGACGGUAGCUUACCAGAAAGGGACGGCUAACUACGUGCCAGCAGCCGCGGUAAUACGUAGGUCCCGAGCGUUGUCCGGAUUUAUUGGGCGUAAAGCGAGCGCAGGCGGUUUGAUAAGUCUGAAGUUAAAGGCUGUGGCUCAACCAUAGUUCGCUUUGGAAACUGUCAAACUUGAGUGCAGAAGGGGAGAGUGGAAUUCCAUGUGUAGCGGUGAAAUGCGUAGAUAUAUGGAGGAACACCGGUGGCGAAAGCGGCUCUCUGGUCUGUAACUGACGCUGAGGCUCGAAAGCGUGGGGAGCGAACAGGAUUAGAUACCCUGGUAGUCCACGCCGUAAACGAUGAGUGCUAGGUGUUGGAUCCUUUCCGGGAUUCAGUGCCGCAGCUAACGCAUUAAGCACUCCGCCUGGGGAGUACGACCGCAAGGUUGAAACUCAAAGGAAUUGACGGGGGCCCGCACAAGCGGUGGAGCAUGUGGUUUAAUUCGAAGCAACGCGAAGAACCUUACCAGGUCUUGACAUCCCGAUGCUAUUUCUAGAGAUAGAAAGUUACUUCGGUACAUCGGUGACAGGUGGUGCAUGGUUGUCGUCAGCUCGUGUCGUGAGAUGUUGGGUUAAGUCCCGCAACGAGCGCAACCCCUAUUGUUAGUUGCCAUCAUUCAGUUGGGCACUCUAGCGAGACUGCCGGUAAUAAACCGGAGGAAGGUGGGGAUGACGUCAAAUCAUCAUGCCCCUUAUGACCUGGGCUACACACGUGCUACAAUGGUUGGUACAACGAGUUGCGAGUCGGUGACGGCAAGCUAAUCUCUUAAAGCCAAUCUCAGUUCGGAUUGUAGGCUGCAACUCGCCUACAUGAAGUCGGAAUCGCUAGUAAUCGCGGAUCAGCACGCCGCGGUGAAUACGUUCCCGGGCCUUGUACACACCGCCCGUCACACCACGAGAGUUUGUAACACCCGAAGUCGGUGAGGUAACCUU
rnacentral:rRNA from 1 species